ensembl:lncRNA
AAAGAAAGAAAAAAAGGCAGGAGAAGAGGAGGAGAAUCACUUUCGGAUUAUCAUGGCAGUACCUGAAGUUUUGUCCCUUCUCUACUUUUUCUGGAGACUGCACAGAGAGUAAAUAGUUGUGAGCUUCAGCCAAAUCUCCUGCAUGAAAAUAAAAUGUGUCAGUUUAGUUGCAGAGCAACUAAAAACAAUAACUGACCAGGUCUACCUCCUUCAGAGAUCACUGGUCUCCAGUUGUAAGAGGUCUUCAGUAGCAGAAAGGACCUCCUGGCAACAAUAGUACAAUACUCUGAUUUCAGAACAGUGUAUGUUGUACUGAGAGCCAUACCUAAAAUAUCUGUGGAUUCUAGAACAGAACGUUCAGGCCUAUUGUCCUGGGAAAACUAAAAAUGAACAAAAUCAAUUUCAUAGAUGGUUCAGAUGUUAAUGCCUACCUUGUGUCUGAGGCAAAAAAUAAACACAGAUGUACAGAUAUUAUUUAACUCACAUGAAAGAGAAGUCAUUUUCCAACCAUGCUGCAACUGCAUUUAAUGGAAAACUCACAGGUAAUCUCCUCCUCAGUUCUCUCUCUCAAGCAAGAUGAGACAGAGGGAGCACUUCCAAAAUUUCCAUCACAUAAAUUAUCAUAGAAUCCUUAGAGUUGGAAGGGACCCUUAAAGGCCAUCUAGUCCACCUCCCCUGGAAUGAAGAGGGACACCUACAGCUACAUCAGGUUGCCCAGAGUCCUGACCAGCCUGACCUUGAGUGUCUCCAGGUAUGAGGCAUCCAUCUCCUCUCUGGGCAACCUCUGCCAGUGCUUCACGACCAAGAAGAGAAAGAUGAAGAAGAUGAAGAUGACAAAGAAGACAGAGAAGUAAAAGAAAAAAAAAAAAGAAAAAACACUUUGUUGUAGCCCAAGCUGUCUAUAAAAGAAAAAGCAGAACUGUACAUAAAAUAAAAUGUUACAAAAAAAGAGAACAAUCUGCUUUGCAUAAUUUGGCUAAGACUAGACGUAUUAAUAUAGUAAUAUAUAUUACUAUAGGCUAGAUAUAUUAAUACAGUAAUAUUUUCUGAUGGAAACUUUUCCAGAACUAUCAUAAAUCAGUGACAACAUUAAAGUGAGUAUGUCAAGAUAAUUAGGAAAAUGGAGAAUAUUAUUUCCUUAGUUCUAUUAUGCAUUUAUAUUUUAGGAUUGCAUAACUGUCUUUCUAAAUGUAAUCACCCAUGCUCUACAUCAAAUGUACAUACAUAUAAGACAUAAACUAUUAACAGAUCCCCAGUUUGUUCAUGGAGUGACUGGUAUGUUAAAAAAGGGUGAUUGGAUUUACUCUUUAGAAAACAACACUCUACUUAUGGAAAAGAAAAGCAAGCCUUGGUAAGUAUCAUGCACUUUAUCUUUCAUAAUUAGUUUUGCUGUCCAUGCAUGGGCAGUUGCAUUUGGCUGUCCCACAUGCCUGCUUCAAGCUGUAGUUCAGUCUCAGCCUUGAGUUUCAGGGAUUUUGACAUGUCGUUGUUUAUCUCCCUACUUUAUGCAACAAGGAAACAUAUUUACAGCCUUCUGACCCUUUGCAUUGUGUCUCUAAGUACAACAUAUAAAUUUAUGUGCAUACCAGGAAUCCCCUUGCAUCUAGUGAAAUCCACAUGUAAUUUUCUGUGCCCAUAUUCCACCAUAUUUUUACAUGAACACAUGGCUUUUAUAACAGAUCCUGCUCAUAAUUUGAGGCCUGCCUUUUUCUGCAAUCCAGCCAUGGAAUGGAUUUUUAUUAAUAGGGCCCUAAGACUUUACACUUGACUUUGGAAAAAGAGCGGGCACUGGUGCCAAGUUUUGAACUACAUGAUCAUAAUUCGGUCUGUUGUGUCACACACAUUCAAAAAGGUAGUUCUAAAAUUCAUGUCCUC